UACGUAGGGGGCGAGCGUUGUCCGGAAUUACUGGGCGUAAAGCGCCUGUAGGCGGGAACGUGCGUCGGACGUGAAAGGCGGGGGCUUAACCCCCGAGCGGCGUUCGAAACGGCGUUUCUUGAGGGUCGAAGAGGAGCGUGGAAUUCCUGGUGUAGCGGUGAAAUGCGUAGAGAUCAGGAGGAACACCCAUGGCGAAGGCAGCGCUCUGGUCGGCAUCUGACGCUGAGAGGCGAAAGCGUGGGGAGCGAACGGG
rnacentral:rRNA from 1 species